AUUGAACGCUGGCGGCAUGCCUACACCUGCCAGUCGCACGGUAACGGGCCUUCGGGUGCCGACGAGUGGCGAACGGGUGAGUAAUACAUCGGAACGUGCACGAUCGUGGGGGAUAACGAGGCGAAAGCUUUGCUAAUACCGCAUACGAUCUACGGAUGAAAGCAGGGGACCGCAAGGCCUUGCGCGGACGGAGCGGCCGAUGGCAGAUUAGGUAGUUGGUGGGAUAAAAGCUUACCAAGCCGACGAUCUGUAGCUGGUCUGAGAGGAUGAUCAGCCACACUGGGACUGAGACACGGCCCAGACUCCUACGGGAGGCAGCAGUGGGGAAUUUUGGACAAUGGGCGCAAGCCUGAUCCAGCCAUGCCGCGUGCAGGAUGAAGGCCUUCGGGUUGUAAACUGCUUUUGUACGGAACGAAAAGCCUUCUUUUAAUACAGGAGGGUCAUGACGGUACCGUAAGAAUAAGCACCGGCUAACUACGUG
rnacentral:rRNA from 1 species